AUUGAACGCUGGCGGCAGGCCUAACACAUGCAAGUCGAACGAGUGGCGGACGGGUGAGGAAUGUCUGGGAAACUGCCAGAUGGAGGGGGAUAACUACUGGAAACGGUAGCUAAUACCGCAUACCAUCGGAUGUGCCCAGAUGGGAUUAGCUGGUAGGUGGGGAAACGGCUCACCUAGGCGACGAUCCCUAGCUGGUCUGAGAGGAUGACCAGCCACACGGGAACUGAGACACGGUCCAGACUCCUACGGGAGGAAUCAGAGGGAAAUAUUGCACAAUGGGCGCAAGCCUGAUGCAGCCAUGCCGGGUGUAUGAAGAAGGCCUUGGGGUUGUAAAGUACUUUCAGCGAGGAGGCGGUACUCGCAGAAGAAGCACCGGCUAACUCCGUGCCAGCAGCCGCGGUAAUAC
rnacentral:rRNA from 1 species